CUAGAAAUAUACCAAUUGUAACAUAGUCAAUAAGAAAUAAUUUAAUCACAUUUAUUGUAUUAUCUUCAUUAUCUCUGAAUAUUUAGCCCUCAUGUGAAACAGUUAAUACCAAGAAACUAAUCCACCUUCUCUGUUUUGCCUUGUGUUGCAUUGUUAAUACUUUCCCUGUCAGUUUUAAGAAAUGUAUAUUCAUUCAAGAGAUUAGAAAGCUGUCAGGGAAACAGAACUGUGAAUCAGAAGAUGUGAUUAUCUCUAUACCCUGCCAACCAGCCACGUGACCUUGAUGAUAACUUCCAUGAGGGUUUUCUCAAGGCUUUGAAGUAAAGAUGCAAGUCAACACACUGACUAUAGUCAGAUCUACCCCAGAAAGCUAUUUCCUGGAGAAAGUCACAUCAUACAUACCUGCAAGAGAAUGAUGGUCACACAACACACACAGUAAUGUCAAGGAAUAAAAAAUUCUCAUACUGCUGUUA